AGGGCACCACCAGGAGUGGAGCCUGCGGCUUAAUUCGACUCAACGCGGGGAAACUUACCAGGCCCGAACAUGGUUGUGAUUGACAAGUGAAAAGUCUUUUCUUGAUUCUAUGGGUGGUGGUGCAUGGCCGUUCUUAGUCGGUGAGGUAACUUGUCUGGUUAAUUCCGAUAACGGACGAGACCUUGGCCCGUUCUUGCAGCUGCGUUGUGUUCAACGUUGCGUUUGUACGGGGACUGUUGGCUUCAAGUCAACGGAAGUUCGAGACU
rnacentral:rRNA from 1 species